UUUGAUCCUGGCUCAGGACGAACGCUGGCGGCGUGCUUAACACAUGCAAGUCGAACGAUGAAGCGGUGCUUGCACCGUGGAUUAGUGGCGAACGGGUGAGUAAUACGUGAGUGACCUACCUUUGACUCUGGGAUAAGCCUGGGAAACUGGGUCUAAUACCGGAUACGACCAAUCUCUGCAUGGGGUGUUGGUGGAAAGCGUUAUGGAGUGGUUUUAGAUGGGCUCACGGCCUAUCAGCUUGUUGGUGAGGUAAUGGCUUACCAAGGCGACGACGGGUAGCCGGCCUGAGAGGGUGACCGGCCACACUGGGACUGAGACACGGCCCAGACUCCUACGGGAGGCAGCAGUGGGGAAUAUUGCACAAUGGGCGCAAGCCUGAUGCAGCGACGCCGCGUGAGGGAUGACGGCCUUCGGGUUGUAAACCUCUGUUAGCAUCGAAGAAGCGAAAGUGACGGUAGGUGCAGAGAAAGCGCCGGCUAACUACGUGCCAGCAGCCGCGGUAAUACGUAGGGCGCGAGCGUUGUCCGGAAUUAUUGGGCGUAAAGAGCUUGUAGGGCGGUUGGUCGCGUCUGCUGUGAAAGGCCGGGGCUUAACUCCGGUUUUGCAGUGGGUACGGGCUAACUAGAGUGCAGUAGGGGAGACUGGAAUUCCUGGUGUAGCGGUGGAAUGCACAGAUAUCAGGAGGAACACCGAUGGCGAAGGCAGGUCUCUGGGCUGUAACUGACGCUGAGAAGCGAAAGCAUGGGGAGCGAACAGGAUUAGAUACCCUGGUAGUCCAUGCCGUAAACGUUGGGCACUAGGUGUGGGGGACAUUCCACGUUUUCCGCGCCGUAGCUAACGCAUUAAGUGCCCCGCCUGGGGAGUACGGCCGCAAGGCUAAAACUCAAAGGAAUUGACGGGGGCCCGCACAAGCGGCGGAGCAUGCGGAUUAAUUCGAUGCAACGCGAAGAACCUUACCAAGGCUUGACAUGCAUUAGAUCGCGUCAGAGAUGGCGUUUCCCUUCGGGGCUGGUGUACAGGUGGUGCAUGGUUGUCGUCAGCUCGUGUCGUGAGAUGUUGGGUUAAGUCCCGCAACGAGCGCAACCCUCGUUCUAUGUUGCCAGCGGUUCGGCCGGGGACUCAUAGGAGACUGCCGGGGUCAACUCGGAGGAAGGUGGGGAUGACGUCAAAUCAUCAUGCCCCUUAUGUCUUGGGCUUCACGCAUGCUACAAUGGCCGGUACAGAGGGUUGCGAUACUGUGAGGUGGAGCUAAUCCCUUAAAGCCGGUCUCAGUUCGGAUUGGGGUCUGCAACUCGACCCCAUGAAGUCGGAGUCGCUAGUAAUCGCAGAUCAGCAACGCUGCGGUGAAUACGUUCCCGGGCCUUGUACACACCGCCCGUCAAG
rnacentral:rRNA from 1 species